rnacentral:rRNA from 1 species
GUGAGGUAACGGCUCACCAAGGCGACGACGGGUAGCUGGUCUGAGAGGAUGGCCAGCCACAUUAGGACUGAGACACGGCCCAGACUCCUACGGGAGGCAGCAGUGGGGAAUAUUGCGCAAUGGCCGAAAGGCUGACGCAGCGACGCCGCGUGCGGGAUGAAGGCCCUCGGGUCGUAAACCGCUGUCAGGAGGGACGAAGAUCUGACGGUACCUCCAGAGGAAGCACCGGCUAACUCCGUGCCAGCAGCCGCGGUAAUACGGAGGGUGCGAGCGUUGUCCGGAAUCACUGGGCGUAAAGGGCGCGUAGGCGGCGCCGUAAGUAGGGGGUGAAAUCUCACGGCUCAACCGUGAAGCGGCCUCCUAAACUGCGGUGCUUGAGCACGGUAGAGGCAGAUGGAAUUCCCGGUGUAGCGGUGGAAUGCGUAGAUAUCGGGAAGAACACCGGUGGCGAAGGCGGUCUGCUGGGCCGUUGCUGACGCUGAGGCGCGACAGCGUGGGGAGCAAACAGGAUUAGAUACCCUGGUAGUCCACGCCGUAAACGAUGGGCACUAGGCGUCGGGGGGAGCGACCCUCUCGGUGCCGUCGCUAACGCAGUAAGUG